GAUGAAGAACGUAGCGAAAUGCGAUACGUAAUGUGAAUUGCAGAAUUCAGUGAAUCAUCGAGUCUUUGAACGCACAUUGCGCCCUGUGGUAUUCCGCAGGGCAUGCCUGUUCGAGCGUCAUUUCAACCCUCAAGCCUCGCUUGGUGUUGGGCCCUGCCCGCCGCGGCCGGCCCUAAAGAUAGUGGCGGCGCCGCCUGGCCCUCAGCGUAGUACAGCUCUCGCUCCAGGGUCCGGCGGUAGCCUGCCAGAACCCCCCAACUCUGUGGUUGACCUCGGAUCAGGUAGGGAUACCCGCUGAACUUAAGCAUAUCAAUAAGCGGAGGA
rnacentral:misc_RNA from 1 species